UAAAAAAAAACAAAAAAAAAAAAACAAACAACAGCCGGAAGCGGUAGGCUGUUUCCAUGGCAGCAACAAACACUCUGCUGCCUGUCUGUUGAACGUGUUUUGAUGUACUUAAUGAUAAAAAGGUUGUUCAUCGCCUGACUGGAGCAGGGACAGGGAAGCUGAGCUGGGCAUCGUUGUUGGGAAGAUGGAUGAAGCCAAAUACACUACAUGUGGAUAAAAACCUCUCAGGUCAUACAAAAGACUUGAAACUUUUGCAGCAGCUCACCUUCCAAAAGGACAAAGACCCUCAACUUACAGCCAGAGCCACAAUUACAAUGUUUCAAAGAUCCAUCAUGUGUUGGCCCAUAAAAAGGCCAGACCUAAAUAUAAUUAAAAAACAGCGAAGGACCUAAUAGUUGCUGUGUACAAAUGCUCUCAAUCCUUUAAGAUUGAGUUUUAGCUUUUCUACAAAUAACAAUGGGCAAGGGUUUCUCUAAAUGUGCAAAGCUAGUUGAUCCUCUGCCCAAAAGACUCACGGCAAAGGUGGUUCUACAAAGUACUCACUCUAAUGGAGCUACAUAUGCAUGGCACACCUUUUAGAUUUUUAUUAGUUAAAACAAAUAAAAAAUAUUUUCUUUCCAUUUCACUAA